CACAGGCUGAAUUAUUUAUUURCAGAUGUACAGAAAACUCGUUGGGGUGCAAACUCAGCGCUUGCGUUGUCAGUGCUGGCCAGGAGCACAUGUACCCUCGUGGAGGUGGGACCGGAGCGCGUGACCUCCGCGGCGGCGCUGACUUGGAGACUGCCCGUUGAACAGCAUGGGCCAAGCCUCCAUAAAACGAUGCUGGAGAUCCGAUUCAGGAUUCAGUAAUUGAUGCUGGUGCCCCGUCGGAAGAGCUCGUGUGAAGACUGCCCAUGGAGGAUCGAUGCCCGCGUUUGCUGAAGUUCUAGGAUUCUUUUGUUUUGCUGUUUAAUUAAUUGAGGAGUCCAAUUUUUUCCCAUGAACCAUCUUUCACCUCUGGAAGAGAGAGAAAUCCCUUUUCUUGCAGUGCUGGUUUCUCUCCGCGCGGGCGUCUUCGCCUUCGCCCCCACCUGCAGCGUUGCCCUUGGGAGAUCGUGGCCGUCGCCGCCAGCCUGGAGCUCCCCCGAGUUUGGCUGCGCGUGGGGCUUCGGCUCUGCGUAAUUGCGGCCCAGGGUACGGCUUGUUUGCGGCAGCCGGGCCGGCGGCUCGGGGAGCAGGAGCCUGUUCCCUAUUCCCCGGGCAGCGGCGGCUGCGCGAGUCGGGAAACGCUUGCAUUUGGUGCUUCUACCAACCGCAACCCGACUUCAGCGCGAGACUCGAGGAGACGACAAACGCCGGGAGCUGUGCCUGUCUUCUGCAGCCUCGUCUCUAAUCCCUCUCUCCUGCCUCUUUAAUUCAUAAAAGUAAGUAAUUAGAGACCCAAGCACAUGUCAGA
rnacentral:lncRNA from 1 species